rnacentral:rRNA from 1 species
GACGAACGCUGGCGGCGUGCUUAACACAUGCAAGUCGAACGGAAAGGCCCCUUUGGGGGUACUCGAGUGGCGAACGGGUGAGUAACACGUGAGUAACCUGCCCUUGACUUCGGGAUAACUUAAGGAAACUGGGGCUAAUACCGGAUAGGAAUCCUUGCUGCAUGGUGGGGGUUGGAAAGCUUCGGCGGUUUUGGAUGGACUCGCGGCUUAUCAGCUUGUUGGUGGGGUAGUGGCUUACCAAGGCUUUGACGGGUAGCCGGCCUGAGAGGGCGACCGGCCACAUGAUAACUGAGAUACGCCCCAGACUCGUACCGGAACCAGCAGUGAGGAAUAUUGCACAAUGGUCGGAAGCCUGAUGCAGCAACUCCUCGUGCGGGAUGACGGCCUUCGGGUUGUAAACCGCUUUCAGCAGGGGCGAAGCUUUUGUAACGGUACCUGCACAAGAAGCACCGGCUAACUACGUG